CCCGGCGCCGAAGCACGGCGGACGCACAGCCUUCGCUGUAGGAUGAGCGGACCCGCGAACUCAGGUCCUCGGGCCUGUCGUGGACGCUCAGACCCACGGCGGGUGCCCCAGACCCGGCACUGCAGCCCCGACACCCAGCACUGCGGCCCCCAGGGCCGGUGUUGGGGCCCCGGCGCCCGGUACUGCUGGCCCGGCACCCAGUAAUGAAUUUGAAAGUGUGAAACCCUACUCAGAAGAGGAAUCGCUACUCCAACCCAUCUUUCUGGUUUUGCAUAAAUACUGCAAACUUUGGGACAGCUGUUGACUAUUCUCUGAUUCCUAAGAGCUGACAGUUAAAAGGUGGACCCCUGAAGACUUAUUAGCCAUGCUGCUGCCUUCCGUAGAGAUUUUGUCUAAUCUCAGUUAGAUAAAUACAGGUGUUCAGGCAGGAAACGACACUCGCAAUUCUGAGCCCUGAGCAGUUCGAAGCAGCUUGGAAGGAGGGCAGAAGCCACCAGUCUGCGAAAGAUCUAGUGUUCAACCACUGGUCUCUUACUCUCUCAUGAGCUCCUUCCCACCACUUCUCCGGACAUGGUAGCAAAUCCGGACCCUGGAGGUAACGUCCAGGCCUCCUCAAGGACUGAGGCCCCAGAGGCAGAGGGACACGUCUGAGCCGAGAAGAGAGGAGACACGCCGUGGGAAAAACAGCCUAGGGUCUGUGCUCCCCGGUUUUGUCCAGAGAGACCUCGAUUCUCCCGAUGGCAUUUCCCAGCUCGGCCCUGACAACAGCCUUCUAGAAACAAAGCACGUGGGGUCCCGGCCGCCGCGUCCCCACACCUCCACCGGUCAGCAGGGAGAAGGCAGACGUGGGGCAAACAAGCCGGGGUCACCCCCGGCCGCACCGCAGUCCCGCCCUCCCCCCAGCCACCCUCCAUGCCCUGGCUGGCGAGGGCCGUUUCCUCAUUCCGUUUGCUGUUCUCAGUGCGGAGGUCCUUUUAAAUCUGUCAUCUUAAGGACCUUCAACAACUCUCUUGUGUUUUUAGAAUAAAGGCCACAGUGAUCA